rnacentral:rRNA from 1 species
UACGGAGGGUGCAAGCGUUGUCCGGAUUUACUGGGCGUAAAGGAUGCGUAGGCGGACAUUUAAGUCAGAUGUGGAAUACCCGAGCUUAACUUGGGUGCUGCAUUUGAAACUGGGUGUCUAGAGUGCAGGAGAGGUAAGUGGAAUUCCUAGUGUAGCGGUGAAAUGCGUAGAGAUUAGGAAGAACACCAGUGGCGAAGGCGGCUCUCUGGACCGUAACUGACGCUGAGGCGCGAAAGCGUGGGGAGCAAACAGG